AGCAGCCGCGGUAAUUCCAGCUCCAAUAGCGUAUAUUAAAGUUGUUGCAGUUAAAAAGCUCGUAGUUGAAUUUCGGGAUUAGUACGUUGGUCGUGCCUUAGGUACGUACUGGUGUUACUGGUUCCUACCUUCUGACGAACCAUCAUGUCAUUAAUUUGGUGUGGCGGGGAAUCAGGACUGUUACUUUGAAAAAAUUGAGUGUUUAAAGCAGGCUCGCGCUUGAAUACAUUAGCAUGGAAUAAUGAAAUAGGACGUUGACCCUAUUUUGUUGGUUUCUAGGAUUGACGUAAUGAUUAAUAGGGAUAGUUGGGGGCAUUAGUAUUCAAUUGUCAGAGGUGAAAUUCUUGGAUUUAUUGAAGACUAACUACUGCGAAAGCAUUUGCCAAGGAUGUUUUCAUUAAUCAAGAACGAAAGUUAGGGGAUCGAAGACGAUCAGAUACCGUCGUAGUCUUAACCAUAAACUAUGCCGACUAGGGAUCGGAUGAUGUUAAUUUUUAUGUACUCUAUUCGGUCGCCGUUA
rnacentral:rRNA from 1 species